rnacentral:rRNA from 1 species
GCUACUAUGCCAGCUGGUGGAUAGCUCGGCUCAGGUGCCGACGAAGGACGUGCCAAGCUGCGAUAAGCUCCAGGGACCCGCACGGAGGGGAAGAACUGGAGAUUUCCGAAUAGGAAUCCUCACAGCAAUUGCUUCGCGCAAUGGGGAACGCCGGGAAUUGAAACAUCUCAGUACCGGCAGGAAGAGAAAACGAAUGUGAUGUCGUUAGUAACCGCGAGUGAACGCGACCUAGCCCAAACCGAAGCCUUCGGGCAAUGUGGUGUUAGGGCUGACUCUCAUCACCGGAUCGUCUUCACGAAGUCUCCUGGAACGGAGCGUGAAACAGGGUGACAACCCCGUAGUGAAGACCAGUACGGUGUGCGUCAGUUCCAGAGUAUCGGGGGUUGGAAAUCCCUCGUGAACACGGCAGGCAUCGACUGCCAAGGCUAAAUACUACCUGAGACCGAUAGUGAACAAGUAGCGUGAGCGAACGCUGCAAAGCACCCUCAGAAGGGAGGUGCAAUAGGGCUUGAAAUCAGUUGGCGAUGGAGCGACGGGGCACGAAAGGUCCUGUGGCAAACGACCGAAGAGCGAUCUUCCAGUAGGACCCACAGGAAGCCGGUGUUCCGUCGUACGUUUUGAAAAACGAGCCAGGGAGUGUACUUGUUUGGCGAGUCUAACCCGGUCAUCGGGGAAGGCACAGGGAAACCGACAUGGCCGCAGCGCUUUGCGCCAGGGCCGCCGUGUUCAAGCGCGGGGAGCCAAACGGGUACGACCCGAAACCGGAUGAUCUACGCGUGGGCAAGAUGAAGCGUGCCGAAAGGCACGUGGAAGUCUGUUAGGGAUGGUGUCCUACAAUACCCUCCCGUGACCUACGUGUAGGGGUGAAAGGCCCAUCGAAUCCGGAAACAGCUGGUUCCGACCGAAACAUGUCGAAGCAUGACCUCCGCCGAGGUAGUCCGUGGGGUAGAGCUACCGAUUGUGGUGUCCGCCUCCGAGAGGAGUCGGCUCCACUGUCAAACUCCAAACCUACGGACGCUGUCGACGCGGGGAGUCCGGUAUGCGGGGUAAGCCUGUGUACCGUGAGGGAGACAACCCAGAGCUGGGUUAAGGUCCCAAAGUGUGGAUUAAGUGCGAUCGAAGGUGGUCUCAAGCCCUAAACAGCCGGGAGGUGAGCUUAGAAGCAGCUACCCUCUAAGAAAAGCGUAACAGCUUACCGGCCGA